rnacentral:rRNA from 1 species
ACUGCGAAUACCGGAGAAUGUUAUCACGGGAGACACACGGCGGGUGCUAACGUCCGUCGUGAAGAGGGAAACAACCCAGACCGCCAGCUAAGGUCCCAAAGUCAUGGUUAAGUGGGAAACGAUGUGGGAAGGCCCAGACAGCCAGGAUGUUGGCUUAGAAGCAGCCAUCAUUUAAAGAAAGCGUAAUAGCUCACUGGUCGAGUCGGCCUGCGCGGAAGAUGUAACGGGGCUAAACCAUGCACCGAAGCUGCGGCAGCGACGCUGAUGCGUUGUUGGGUAGGGGAGCGUUCUGUAAGCCUGCGAAGGUGUGCUGUGAGGCAUGCUGGAGGUAUCAGAAGUGCGAAUGCUGACAUAAGUAACGAUAAAGCGGGUGAAAAGCCCGCUCGCCGGAAGACCAAGGGUUCCUGUCCAACGUUAAUCGGGGCAGGGUGAGUCGACCCCUAAGGCGAGGCCGAAAGGCGUAGUCGAUGGGAAACAGGUUAAUAUUCCUGUACUUGGUGUUACUGCGAAGGGGGGACGGAGAAGGCUAUGUUGGCCGGGCGACGGUUGUCCCGGUUUAAGCGUGUAGGCUGGUUUUCCAGGCAAAUCCGGAAAAUCAAGGCUGAGGCGUGAUGACGAGGCACUACGGUGCUGAAGCAACAAAUGCCCUGCUUCCAGGAAAAGCCUCUAAGCAUCAGGUAACAUCAAAUCGUACCCCAAACCGACACAGGUGGUCAGGUAGAGAAUACCAAGGCGCUUGAGAGAACUCGGGUGAAGGAACUAGGCAAAAUGGUGCCGUAACUUCGGGAGAAGG